rnacentral:rRNA from 1 species
UACGUAGGGUGCGAGCGUUGUCCGGAAUUAUUGGGCGUAAAGGGUUUGUAGGCGGUUUGUCGCGUCGGGAGUGAAAACUCAGGGCUUAACCCUGAGCCUGCUUCCGAUACGGGCAGACUAGAGGUAUGCAGGGGAGAACGGAAUUCCUGGUGUAGCGGUGAAAUGCGCAGAUAUCAGGAGGAACACCGGUGGCGAAGGCGGUUCUCUGGGCAUUACCUGACGCUGAGGGGCGAAAGUGUGGGGAGCGAACAGG